AAGUCGUAACAAGGUCUCCGUAGGUGAACCUGCGGAGGGAUCAUUACCGAGUGAGGGCGCUCCGCGCCCGACCUCCAACCCUUUGUCGUUAUACCUUUGUUGCCUCGGGGGCGACCCCGGAUGCUUCGGCGUUGGGGCCCCGGUGGACCAUCAAAUCCUGCAUCCGUGCGUCGGAGUACACAAGCAAAUUGAAUCAAAACUUUCAACAACGGAUCUCUUGGUUCUGGCAUCGAUGAAGAACGCAGCGAAAUGCGAUAAGUAAUGUGAAUUGCAGAAUUCAGUGAAUCAUCGAAUCUUUGAACGCACAUUGCGCCCUUUGGUAUUCCGAAGGGCAUGCCCGUUCGAGCGUCAUUACACCAAUCAAGCCCGGCUUGGUAUUGGGCCCCGGGGGCGACCCGGACCUCAAAAGCGUCGGCUGGAAACCCCCAAAACUCAGCGUCGUGGCACAACAAUUCGCUGGCGAGAAGGGGAGUUCCACGCCGGAAAACUCAUACAAGGUUGACCUCGGAUCGGGUAGGGAUACCCGCUGAACUUAA
rnacentral:rRNA from 1 species